UUCGAGUCGUUGAUUUCACACUGCCGAGAAAAGCCUCUAGAUAGAAAAUAGGUGCCCGUACCGCAAACCGACACAGGUAGUCAAGAUGAGAAUUCUAAGGUGAGCGAGCGAACUCUCGUUAAGGAACUCGGCAAAAUGACCCCGUAACUUCGGGAGAAGGGGUGCUCUUUAGGGUUAACGCCCAGAAGAGCCGCAGUGAAUAGGCCCAAGCGACUGUUUAUCAAAAACACAGGUCUCUGCUAAACCGUAAGGUGAUGUAUAGGGGCUGACGCCUGCCCGGUGCUGGAAGGUUAAGAGGAGUGGUUAGCUUCUGCGAAGCUACGAAUCGAAGCCCCAGUAAACGGCGGCCGUAACUAUAACGGUCCUAAGGUAGCGAAAUUCCUUGUCGGGUAAGUUCCGACCCGCACGAAAGGCGUAACGAUUUGGGCACUGUCUCAACGAGAGACUCGGUGAAAUCAUAGUACCUGUGAAGAUGCAGGUUACCCGCGACAGGACGGAAAGACCCCGUGGAGCUUUACUGUAGCCUGAUAUUGAAAUUCGGCACAGCUUGUACAGGAUAGGUAGGAGCCUUUGAAACGUGAGCGCUAGCUUACGUGGAGGCGCUGGUGGGAUACUACCCUAGCUGUGUUGGCUUUCUAACCCGCACCACUUAUCGUGGUGGGAGACAGUGUCAGGCGGGCAGUUUGACUGGGGCGGUCGCCUCCUAAAAGGUAACGGAGGCGCUCAAAGGUUCCCUCAGAAUGGUUGGAAAUCAUUCAUAGAGUGUAAAGGCAUAAGGGAGCUUGACUGCGAGACCUACAAGUCGAGCAGGGUCGAAAGACGGACUUAGUGAUCCGGUGGUUCCGCAUGGAAGGGCCAUCGCUCAACGGAUAAAAGCUACCCCGGGGAUAACAGGCUUAUCUCCCCCAAGAGUUCACAUCGACGGGGAGGUUUGGCACCUCGAUGUCGGCUCAUCGCAUCCUGGGGCUGUAGUCGGUCCCAAGGGUUGGGCUGUUCGCCCAUUAAAGCGGUACGCGAGCUGGGUUCAGAACGUCGUGAGACAGUUCGGUCCCUAUCCGUCGUGGGCGUAGGAAAUUUGAGAGGAGCUGUCCUUAGUACGAGAGGACCGGGAUGGACAUACCUCUGGUGUACCAGUUGUCGUGCCAACGGCAUAGCUGGGUAGCUAUGUGUGGACGGGAUAAGUGCUGAAAGCAUCUAAGCAUGAAGCCCCCCUCAAGAUGAGAUUUCCCAACUUCGGUUAUAAGAUCCCUCAAAGAUGAUGAGGUUAAUAGGUUCGAGGUGGAAGCAUGGUGACAUGUGGAGCUGACGAAUACUAAUCGAUCGAAGACUUAAUCAAAA
rnacentral:rRNA from 1 species